rnacentral:rRNA from 1 species
UUUCCGGUUGAUCCCGCCGGACCUGACUGCUAUCGGAUUGAUACUAAGCCAUGCGAGUCUUUGUAGUAAUACAAGGCAGACGGCUCAGUAACACGUAGUCAACCUACCCUAUGGACAAGAAUAAUCUCGGGAAACUGGGCAUAAUUCUUGAUAGAUCAUAAUGCCUGGAAUGGUUUAUGGUUAAAAUGAUUCGUCGCCAUAGGAUGGGACUGCGGCCUAUCAGCUUGUUGGUGAGGUAAUGGCCCACCAAGGCGAUUACAGGUACGGGCUCUGAGAGGAGAAGCCCGGAGAUGGGUACUGAGACACGGACCCAGGCCCUAUGGGGCGCAGCAGGCGAGAAAACUUUGCAAUGUGCGAAAGCACGACAAGGUUAAUCCGAGUGAUUUCUGCUAAAGAAAUCUUUUGCCAGUCAUAAAACCACUGGUGAAUAAGGGGUGGGCAAGUUCUGGUGUCAGCCGCCGCGGUAAAACCAGCACCUCAAGUGGUCAGGAUGAUUAUUGGGCCUAAAGCAUCCGUAGCCGGCUUUGUAAGUUUUCGGUUAAAUCCAUGUGCUCAACGCAUGGGCUGCCGAAAAUACUGCAUGGCUAGGGAGUGGGAGAGGUAGACGGUACUCAGUAGGAAGGGGUAAAAUCCUUUGAUCUAUUGAUGACCACCUGUGGCGAAGGCGGUCUACCAGAACACGUUCGACGGUGAGGGAUGAAAGCUGGGGGAGCAAACCGGAUUAGAUACCCGGGUAGUCCCAGCUGUAAACGAUGCAGACUCGAUGAUGCAUUGGCAUAAUAGCCAGUGCAGUGUCGCAGGGAAGCCGUUAAGUCUGCCGCCUGGGAAGUACGUACGCAAGUAUGAAACUUAAAGGAAUUGGCGGGGGAGCACCACAAGGGGUGAAGCCUGCGGUUCAAUUGGAGUCAACGCCGGA